AGCGGCGGACGGGUGAGUAACACGUGGGUAACCUGCCCAAGAGACUGGGAUAACACCUGGAAACAGAUGCUAAUACCGGAUAACAACACUAGACGCAUGUCUAGAGCUUGAAAGAUGGUUCUGCUAUCACUCUUGGAUGGACCUGCGGUGCAUUAGCCAGUUGGUAAGGUAACGGCUUACCAAGGCAAUGAUGCAUAGCCGAGUUGAGAGACUGAUCGGCCACAUUGGGACUGAGACACGGCCCAAACUCCUACGGGAGGCAGCAGUAGGGAAUCUUCCACAAUGGACGAAAGUCUGAUGGAGCAACGCCGCGUGAGUGAAGAAGGGUUUCGGCUCGUAAAGCUCUGUUGGUAGUGAAGAAAGAUAGAGGUAGUAACUGGCCUUUAUUUGACGGUAAUUACUUAGAAAGUCACGGCUAACUACGUGCCAGCAGCCGCGGUAAUACGUAGGUGGCAAGCGUUGUCCGGAUUUAUUGGGCGUAAAGCGAGUGCAGGCGGUUCAAUAAGUCUGAUAUGAAAGCCUUCGGCUCAACCGGAGAAUUGCAUCAGAAACUGUUGAACUUGAGUGCAGAAGAGGAGAGUGGAACUCCAUGUGUAGCGGUGGAAUGCGUAGAUAUAUGGAAGAACACCAGUGGCGAAGGCGGCUCUCUGGUCUGCAACUGACGCUGAGGCUCGAAAGCAUGGGUAGCGAACAGGAUUAGAUACCCUGGUAGUCCAUGCCGUAAACGAUGAGUGCUAAGUGU
rnacentral:rRNA from 1 species